AGCAUUUUAUAAUUACGUGAAGGUGUUACUUUUUGUCCCUUGACCUUCAUUUACAUACCACACAACAGCAGCCUGUGUGAUUGACAGUUAGAUAUCAGCCACUCAGGCAGUGUAGGCUUGGCUUUAAGCUCUACUCACUUUUUGAGGAAAGCUGACAGAGCCCUGACAAACUCCUGCUGAUUGACAUCCUUCACUGUGACACUUGGCAUCUGAAAGGCAAAUUGGAAGCAAGGAUCAAGCCUCUGAGACAACCUGAACUUUUUUGCCGAAGAUGUUACUUUUAUCAGGAAUGCUGUGGUCAACCAUAGAGGCUCCCCAGUGACAAGAGAGCCAUGGGAAAACACAGAUCCCGGUUGUGAGGUAAAUGCCUUGGCAACAUGUUUCUUCCCAUUUAUACCAACAAAGACUCUUUGAAUCCCACUGAAAUGAAAGAGAGAGCAAACAGCUUGAGAAUCCAGAGGCAGUGAUGGAGAAUGUCAGCUCCAAGUAUACAGAAGGACAUUUAACAUUUCCAGGUCUCUGACCUUCUCUUUCUCUGUUUUUUUGUUUGUUUGUUUGAUUGUUUGUUUUUUUUGGGGAGGGGUUUCACUCUCAAUUUUAAAACUAAAAUUUGUCCUCAAAAUUGUUAUAUUGUCAGCACCAUAAACAACUAUCACACAAUCAAAACCUAUUGAAAGAAGGCUAAAUAUACGUAUGUUAUUCAACAUAAUUGCAUAUGGGACCUCACAUAACUGCUUGCAUGAUUAUGCUUGCUCUUUUUUCUUCUUUCUCUCUGAUGAAUACACACUCUACCAAGAAAAACAUUAGAGUAUAUUAACUGACAAAAGCUGCCUCCCAUCAUUCAUCACCCACAGAGUCAAACCAGCAAAAAGAAAACCAUUUCAAAAUGGUACAUAUUGUAUGCAUAAAAGCCCUCAUUGUAGAAUAAGAACGUUAAAUUGUUUAUAUUUUUUAAGCUUAUAUGUGCUGUGUGCUUUGUGCAUAUCUGUGAACACACAUGCUCAAACAUACACACAUGCUUUCUCCUCUCCACACACAUGUACGACCUGCGCUCACAUACACACACAUACUGGCCAACACUACCCAAUAGCCAUUGACAACAGUGCCCUAGCAACCAUUGGGCAUCAUGCCAAGCCACUGAGGUUGCCUGGUAGUGUGUUCCCAUGGUAACGUUUUUCUGCCUUUGUAAAUAUGGUACGAGGAAGGCAAGAAAGGGGGGUUCGGUAUAAAUUGCACUACAGAGUUUCAUCCUAUCUUGAGAGAGCUAAUAAUUUAUGGUUUGUGAGUCGCAGAUACUUAUCCUGGCCCUGCACCAAGCUGCCAUCCGACUGAAGAGGUGCAUUAAUAUGGGGACGGGGAUCUCAGGUCCAAGUCCGUGCUGCACAGGGUCAGAUCUGGUUUUACAGGUGGACAAGGGGAGAAAAAUUAUCCAGCAUCUUUCCCAGUCUCUAAAUGACCUCUUUGUUAUAAACACACUAAGUAAUAAUCACACUCUGAUCUAUUUGUGUGUUUAUACAUAUAUCAUUUUUUUUCCUCAUCACGUUGUGACUCAUCCUAGCGUACGUUUGUUUCACCUUGAUUUCAUUUUGGACUUUUAAUUAAGAAAUGAAGAAACAAUAAUCCAUCUGAGGCCUGCAUUCCUGUUGAGCUGGAACUUGGCAGACAAAGCUUAGCUGCAGAUAACAGUGCAUUUGCUGUCACUGGGCAGAUUUUCGUCCCCCGUGCCCCUACAUUUUCUUGGAUGUUGCCACAGUCUGUGUGUGUCACUUCUCAAAGACGAUGUGUGGUGGUCGCCUGAAAUCUUGGUUUUAUCUUUGACAACAGACCCUGUGAAUUUUUGUACAGAAAAGAUGUACCUGAUUUUCAUGUACAAUACAAUGAAGUCUGUGCCAUUUGAUGGAUUUGACAAUUAUUAAUUUCGGUACUAGCUGUCCAGGAUAUUAAUCUGUAAUGCUUUUGUCAAAUUGUAAAUAUAAAUUGUAAACAAAUUUAAACAACAAUUCUGUUCUUUUUCAGCAAAGAAAUUAACUGUCUGUUCAGCAGAUUAAAUCUUGAACACUCUUAUCAAAGAGGCAGAGAAACUGAACAUUUGAAGAUAUUUUGUAGUCUGGCUCAUAUGCCAGUUUUUCAUGUAAACCAGUUUUUCCUCAAAAUGAGAGUUUUAGCAGUAAUGCCUAAUAAAUAAUAUGUUAUUCCUCCGUAUUGUCUCAGUUGUGGUUAGCCAAGAUUAACACAUGAUGAUCAUGUGCGUGAUAAUCCAUAUACCCAGAGACAUUGUUGGAUGUGAAAAUGAUAAUUUAGAUUAAAUUAGCAAACUGAAUUACUGAUAAAUUUAAGAGGUUUAUAUGUUACCUGAGAGGUUUAUAUAAACACUUUUACAAGCAUGAUGUAAAACCUGGCUGUAGUUAGCUUUUCUAGGGACAUUAGCCACUUAUAAUUUACUUUGUUAACAUUUUUGGCUGACAUCAUAAAAACGCAAAUAUUUAGUUUUCAUAGCAUCAAAUCUUUUCUCAGUAUUCUGAUGCGAAUGCUUCUUCUCGUGGCUGUCUUGGUUUCAGCCUAGUUAGCUCAGCAGUGAUACUACUGAGCCAAACUUUUUAUAUUGCCAGAAACUUUGGACGCUAAUACAGUGUUGACAUAUGAGGUCGUCGUAUGAGGUCGCUGCAUAAAUAUCUUAAUGCAAUCCAAUAUUUUGGUGAUUUUAGGCAUACCUAGAUAUACAAUAUACUUUGGCUCAACAUGAUUAAUUUGUUUUUGCUCUCUCAAGAGGCUGAGCUGUAAUCCCCACAAAGCUUCACCUGACCCAACACCAGCCGGGGUUCGGGCUUAUAAGCCACCCUGGCCUCCAGUGCAGGGGCUUCCCACCAGACUCACAUUGGCACACAAACGCACCCAGGCAGACUGGCAAAGAGCUGGCAUUGGCACAACCAUGCCGCAUUCAUGCGUGAUCUGACUGCGAAUGAGAUGGUGAGAGAGGUUUAAAAAGGGGAGGAGCAGAAUCAAGGGGAUCAAGAGGAGAGACUUAGUUGGUAUGAACAGAGAGAUUGUCUGAGUAAAAAAAAGUUGUUGAAGAUUUUGAGUUCUGAAAUGUUCAGUGAUGAAGGACAAAUAAGAGGCACGUAGAGAGGCAAGAGGACAGCCAAAGAAAGAAAAUGAAGGGUAGGCAGAGGGUGGGCUUAGCAACGCAGAGGGCAAUGAAGAGAGGCAAAGUGAAUGGGUUUGCAUUUGGAAGCUGGCCAAUUAAACAAAAAUAUGUCUCUAUUAAGCAUAUGGUGCCGCUGUACCUUUUGAAGUUAAUAGUUAAAUGUUGAGUAUGUAGCACAAUUACAAGUUGAGAGUGAUUGCAAAUGAUCUGUCCCUGUAAUGUAGUGUAACCCGACACAGCCAUUCAUCAUCUUAUAGACGUUUACCUGUGCUAUACAGUGCUUGUUAAUAUGCAGUUAUGGUCCCGGCAGGCAAUGAAGUGAGCCACUUUGUAAGGCUUUGGAGACAUACUACUUUUGUGUUUGAACCCAGCUUUGUCAGAGAGGCCCCAGUCAUGCAAGACUUCAAGGUUGUAUUUUUGGUGCAUUGACCAAGCUGAAUAGGAGGCCUAGCAACUGAGCUGCGCAGCAGCUAUCAAGUAAUCAAUGAGUCCUUGAGGCACACAGGAGUAGUGUCAAAACGCAGCCACUGACUGCUAACAACAGCCAAUUUGCUGCUUUUGCUUGAGAUCACCUCAGCUAGAUGUCGAAUGUGUAGGCGUGCCCCAUUAUUUGUAGAGUAUGAGAGAGACUGACUGGAUAGUGCUGUUACUCCCAAUUGUCAUCCAAUUACUCACCCAUUAGAUCCUAUUUGUUACACUGAAAACUGUUUCUGCAUUACCCUGAAUUAAACAGUGCAAAUCAGUUCAUUAUUUUUAAUGUGUCAAGAUGUCUGACACCAUUCCUGAGAUCCUGAAGAAGGGAAAGGUAAAUCAACACAUUAACAAAACAUUAUCUGGUCAUAAACCAGACAAAAUACUGCAUUUAACUUUAUUUACAGU